rnacentral:rRNA from 1 species
ACCAGACUCCUACGGGAGGCAGCAGUGGGGGAUAUUGCACAAUGGGGGAAACCCUGAUGCAGCGACGCCGCGUGGGUGAAGAAGUAUUUCGGUAUGUAAAGCCCUAUCAGCAGGGAAGAAAGAAGACGGUACCUGACUAAGAAGCCCCGGCUAACUACGUGCCAGCAGCCGCGGUAAUACGUAGGGGGCGAGCGUUAUCCGGAUUCACUGGGUGUAAAGGGAGCGUAGACGGCCGUGCAAGCCAGGAGUGAAAGCCCGGGGCCCAACCCCGGGACUGCUCUUGGAACUGUGCGGCUGGAGUGCGGGAGGGGCAGGCGGAAUUCCUGGUGUAGCGGUGAAAUGCGUAGAUAUCAGGAGGAACACCGGCGGCGAAGGCGGCCUGCUGGACCGCGACUGACGUUGAGGCUCGAAAGCGUGGGGAGCGAACAGGAUUAGAUACCCUCGUAG